rnacentral:rRNA from 1 species
AUUGUCGAAACCUGCAGAGCAGAACGACCCGUGAACCAGUAAAACAUGUUCGGGGGGGAGCGGGGGGUGCACGCCCCUCUCUUCCUCCCGUGCCGGGACACGCUCGGCACUGCCCUGUGACCUGCGCGAUGCGUGCAGGGAGCCGGUGCGUGUCGGUGUGCUCCCGAUACAUAACAACGAACCCCGGCGCAAAACGCGCCAAGGAACUAUAACGCAAGAGCAUGCCCCCUUGCUGCCCCGAUCCCGGGGCGUGCGGGUGGCGUUGUUAUCUUCGAAAUCUUAACGACUCUCGGCAACGGAUAUCUCGGCUCUCGCAUCGAUGAAGAACGUAGCGAAAUGCGAUACUUGGUGUGAAUUGCAGAAUCCCGUGAACCAUCGAGUCUUUGAACGCAAGUUGCGCCCGAAGCCAUUAGGCCGAGGGCACGUCUGCCUGGGCGUCACGUAUCACGUCGCCCCCACAAAACCUCGCCCACGCUGCUCGUGGUGCGGGGAUUUGAGCGGAGCGGAUAUUGGCCUCCCGUGCAUCCCGUUGCGGUUGGCCUAAAAAUCGGUCCCGAGCGACGAACGUCACGACAAGUGGUGGUUGACAGGCCUCGGCCUCAGCGGUAUCGUGUCGUGCGUUUUCCUGUCGCUCGUCGGAGCGAACGAGACCCCGAUGCGUCGCCCCGACGAUGCUUCCAUCGCGACCCCAGGUCAGGCGGGAUUACCCGC